UGAAUCUUUAAAGUGGCUGAAUGCUUAGAUUAUUUUCUGGGCAUAUUGAAUCAUUAUUUAUUGAAUAGGAAGAUCUGAUGC